UCUUAGGGAUGAGCAAAAAAGUGUUUUCUUGAGAUGGAAUCUAUGCUUGGUGAAGAUGCUGUGAA
rnacentral:pre_miRNA from 1 species